UACGGGGGGGAGCAAGCGUUGUUCGGAUUUACUGGGCGUAAAGGGCGCGUAGGCGGCCUGUGCAAGUCAGUUGUGAAAUCUCCGAGCUUAACUCGGAACGGUCAACUGAUACUGCUCGGCUAGAGUGCGGAAGGGGCAACUGGAAUUCUUGGUGUAGCGGUGAAAUGCGUAGAUAUCAGGAAGACACCCUGGCGAAGGCGGCUCUCUGGGACGUGACUGACGCUGAGACGCGAAAGCGUGGGGAGCGAACAGG
rnacentral:rRNA from 1 species